rnacentral:rRNA from 1 species
UACGUAGGGUGCGAGCGUUGUCCGGAAUUAUUGGGCGUAAAGAGCUCGUAGGCGGUGUGUCGCGUCGGCCGUGAAAACCUGCAGCUUAACUGUGGGCUUGCGGUCGAUACGGGCAUCACUGGAGUUCGGCAGGGGAGAGUGGAAUUCCUGGUGUAGCGGUGAAAUGCGUAGAUAUCAGGAGGAAUACCGGUGGCGAAAGCGACUCUCUGGACGGCAACUGACGCUGAGGCACGAAAGCGUGGGGAGCAAACAGG